GUAGGUGGCAAGCGUUGUCCGGAAUUAUUGGGCGUAAAGCGCGCGCAGGUGGGUUCUUUAAGUCUGAUGUGAAAAGCCCCCGGGCUCAACCGGGGAGGGUCAUUGGAAACUGGGGAACUUGAGUGCAGGAGAGGAAAGUGGAAUUCCACGUGUAGCGGUGAAAUGCGUAGAUAUGUGGAGGAACACCAGUGGCGAAGGCGACUUUCUGGCCUGUAACUGACACUGAGGCGCGAAAGCGUGGGGAGCAAACAGGAUUGGAUACCCUGGUAGUCCACGCCGUAAACGAUGAGUGCUAAGUGUUGGGGGGUUUCCGCCCCUCAGUGCUGCAGCUAACGCAUUAAGCACUCCGCCUGGGGAGUACGGUCGCAAGACUG
rnacentral:rRNA from 1 species